AUCCUUUUUAAAUGCAGUCCCGUGAGGCUGACAAAGAGGAAAAAACCGGGUUAUUAUUCAAAAUUCGGUAAUUUUCUAACCUCUUUGUGCCAUCAUGGACAAAGAGGUUUUUUAAU
rfam:Bacillus sp. MTM 116 46, whole genome shotgun sequence.